AAGGUGGGGAUGACGUCAAGUCCUCAUGGCCCUUACGUGUUGGGCUACACACGUGCUACAAUGGUAUCUACAACAGGAAGCAAGACUGCGAAGUUAAGCAAAUCCCUAAAAGAUACCUCAGUUCGGAUUGCACUCUGCAACUCGAGUGCAUGAAGCUGGAAUUACUAGUAAUCGUGGAUCAGCGUGCCACGGUGAAUGCGUUCCCGGGUCUU
rnacentral:rRNA from 1 species